rnacentral:lncRNA from 1 species
GAAGACAAGCUAUUUCUUGAAGAAUCUUAUGAAGGAGAAUUAUUGGAUAUUGGUCAUUAUUUGAAUACCUUGACUAAGUAGGGGAAUUGGUCUACAGAAAAAUUCAAACAAAUAAGAAAAAAAGCAUAUGGAUUUUUACUUCGAGAUGGAUUCUUAUGGAAGAGACCGAAGAAAAGAAUUGGGAUGCCACAACGAGUGAUAGGCAAAAGGGAAGAAAAACUAAAAUUAUUAAAG